UACGGCUACCUUGUUACGACUUCACCCCAGUCGCUGACCUUACCGUGGCCUGCUGCCUCUAAAAGUUAGCACACAGUCUUCGGGUAAAACCAACUCCCAUGGUGUGACGGGCGGUGUGUACAAGGCCCGGGAACGUAUUCACCGUGGCAUGCUGAUCCACGAUUACUAGCGAUUCCAACUUCAUGCUCUCGAGUUGCAGAGAACAAUCCGAACUGAGACGGCUUUUAGAGAUUAGCUCCUCAUCGCUGAGUGGCUGCUCACUGUCACCGCCAUUGUAGCACGUGUGUAGCCCGGCCCGUAAGGGCCAUGAUGAUUUGACGUCAUCCCCACCUUCCUCCGGCUUAUCACCGGCAGUCCCUCUAGAGUGCCCAACUUAAUGCUGGCAACUAAAGGCGAGGGUUGCGCUCGUUGCGGGACUUAACCCAACAUCUCACGACACGAGCUGACGACAACCAUGCAGCACCUGUAUCCAAUCCAGCCGAACUGAAGGAAAGCAUCUCUGCUAUCCGCGAUUGGUAUGUCAAGGGCCGGUAAGGUUCUUCGCGUUGCCUCGAAUUAAACCACAUGCUCCACCGCUUGUGCGGGCCCCCGUCAAUUCCUUUGAGUUUUAGUCUUGCGACCGUAAGUCCCAAGCGGGGUGCUUAACGCCUUAGCUGCGUCACCCAAACGCAUGCUGCCUGACAACUAACCACCCUUCGU
rnacentral:rRNA from 1 species